ncrna:unclassified sequences eL15-Euryarchaeota ribosomal protein leader
CCCGAUUGUUCGGGACGACAUGUGGGAAUACGUCAUUGACGUUCCCGAAUCACAAG